GGACAAUCUGCCCUUAUGUCUGGGAUAAUCCUUCGAAAGGGGGGUCUAAUACCGGAUAAGACCACGAGAUGGCAUCAUCAUGAGGUCAAAGGCGGGGUAACCUGCCGCAUAGGGAUGAGUCCGCGCUCCAUUAGCUUGUUGGUAAGGUAACGGCUUACCAAGGCUACGAUGGAUAGCCGGCCUGAGAGGGCGAUCGGCCACACUGGGACUGAGAUACGGCCCAG
rnacentral:rRNA from 1 species